CUCCUGUUGCCAGAGUUACAGAAAAAACUAGAUGGCUUGUUGACUAUUGGUCUGAUUCAGGAAUGUUAUUACUUAAGUUCGAGUGUGUGUGUGUGUGUGUGUGUGUGUGUCCAUUCAUUCAGUCAUUCAUUCAGUCGUAAUUAUUGAGCACUUAGUGUGUGUGUUGUGUUCGCAUGAUACUAAUAAACUUUCCCUUUCCCCAAAGGCUCAUGGGAUGACAGAGCUGGAGGAAGAAGAGGAAGCGGGGAAAUAGCCUUGGACUCCAUGCUUGGCACGGAGCCUGAGGCCCUUUGGCCUUUAAGGGGCAGUGGAGUGGGCCUAUUGAGAUGCAGGCUCUGCCCUUCCAGUGUCCCAAGGAUGGAUCUCUGGAGAGAUGCCCUUUCAACCUUCUGUCUUUGCGAAAGGCCUAUUGAAUAAGGGCCGUGGAUGUGUCUAGCUGCCAGGUAAGAGCUGAGAGGAAGAAUUACUUUCGGUUCCUCAGACAGACCCUUGGGCCCAGCGGAGAGAUGGCAGCACUUUGCUUCUCCCGGAUCGUCCUCGCACUGUACGACAGCCAAACCUACUCUCCCGGGUUUGGGGGUGGAGCGGCUGGGAGGUGGAGGGGGGUGGUAAAGGGUUAAUACUGCUGACCCCCCCCCCCCCCCUUCUCCCCCAAGUCAUACUGCCAGAGAUCAGCUAAUCUGAUAAUUACAGCAACAAACACAGUUUAGACAAACGUGA
rnacentral:lncRNA from 1 species